rnacentral:rRNA from 1 species
UGUACGAAUCUUGGCAACCGAUAUCUCGGCUCUCGCAUCCAUGAAGAAACGAGCGAAAUGCGAUACUUGGUGUGAAUUGGAGAAUCCCGUGAACCAUCCAAUCUUUGAACCCAAGUUGCCCCCGAGGGCUUUCCGACGAGGGGCCGGCUGGCUGGGCGUCACGCC